UUGUUAGAUGGCUGAGAAAUAAGCGGUAGACUGUAGAUCUAUUAACGGAAUUUAGUUUCCUCAACAAA
rnacentral:tRNA from 1 species